rnacentral:rRNA from 1 species
AGCGGCCGAGGGAAAGGUCUUCGGAUCGCCGACGGGGGGCUCGCGGCCCAUUAGCUAUUGGGGGGUAACGGCUCCCAAGGCGACGAUCGGGUAGCCGGCCCUGAGAGGGUGAUCGGCCACACUGGGACUGAGACACGGCCCAGACUCCUACGGGAGGCAGCAGUAGGGAAUCUUCCACAAUGGGCGCAAGCCUGAUGGAGCAACGCCGCGUGAGUGAAGACGGCCUUCGGGUUGUAAAGCUCUGUCUGUCGGGACGAGGGCCCGGGUGCAAACCCGGGAGGGACGGUACCGGCGGAGGAAGCCCCUGCAAACUACGUG